rnacentral:lncRNA from 1 species
ACCCCCCACCCCCCCCCAAAUCCCAAAAUCCCAGAGUGGGAUUUGGGGCAAAAAACUGGGAAAAAAACUCAUCAGUGGCAACGGGGGGAGGGGGCACCCCGGCAUGGGGGGGGUGAUUUUGGGGACACCCCACCCCCCCCUUCCCUAAAAGGGAUUGGAGCCCCCCUAAAAAGGAGGGGUGCCCCCCUAAGAGACUGUGAAAGGGGGUGACGAGGGGACCCCCCCCCAGCCCCGAUGUCACCCCAAAGGCUGCACUGCACUUUCUGGACUGGGUGUCCCCCCCAAAAUUUGGGGUCCCUCCAAGCCCACCCCCGUUUCUGGGACGGGUUUGGGUGUCGCUGUCGUUCCCCACCCCGUGUGUGUCCCCCCGCCUCCAUGAUCACUCAGGACUUGGGGAGCCCCCCCCCAAAUCGGUGUCACCUCACCUCGUGUGUACCCUGUGUGUGUCCCCCAUGUCCCCCCCCACCGUGUGUCCCCUCCCCUGGGCUCCCCACACCCCCCCAAGCAAUAACUGGAGCCGCCGGACGCGCCGAUGGCGGAGGACGACGGCGGAGGUAGGGAGGGCCCUGCCCGGGUGUCCCCCCGUCCCCUUGUGGUGGCAAUGUCACCCCAGAAGUGGGGGGAGAAGGGGGGAAACCGGCCCCACUGCGAGGCCAGGCUGCGUUUCCAUGGUAACGGGACCAGGCCUGAGCCCUCACUGCGGGGCCAGGCUGCGUUUCCAUGGUAACAGGACUAGGCCUGAAUCCGCACUGCGAGGCCAGGCUGCGUUUCCAUGGUAACAGGACUAGGCCUGAACUCUCACUGCGAGGCCAGGCUGCGUUUCCAUGGUAACGAGACCAGGCCUGAGCACUCACUGUGAGGCCAGGCUGCGUUUCCAUGGUAACAGGACUAGGCCUGAACUCUCACAGCGAGGCCAGGCUGCGUUUCCAUGGUAAC